AGUGAACGCUGGCGGUAGGCCUAACACAUGCAAGUCGAACGGCAGCACAGUAAGAGCUUGCUCUUACGGGUGGCGAGUGGCGGACGGGUGAGGAAUACAUCGGAAUCUACUUUUUCGUGGGGGAUAACGUAGGAAAACUUACGCUAAUACCGCAUACGACCUACGGGUGAAGGCAGGGGAUCUUCUGACCUUGCGCGGUUGAAUGAGCCGAUGUCGGAUUAGCUAGUUGGCGGGGUAAAGGCCCACCAAGGCGACGAUCGGUAGCUGGUCUGAGAGGAUGAUCAGCCACACUGGAAGUGAGAAAGGGUCCAGACUCCUACGGGAGGACGCAGUGGGGAAUAUUGGACAAUGGGGGAAAGCCUGAUCCAGCCCUACCGCGUGGGUGAAGAAGGCCUUCGGGUUGUAAAGCCCUGUUGUUGGGAAAGAAAAGCAGCAGGUUAAUACCCCGCUGUUCUGACGGUACCCAAAGAAUAAGCACCGGCUAACUUCGUG
rnacentral:rRNA from 1 species